UCCCUACGGGGUGCACCAGGCGCGCAAACUUUACAAUGCGAGCAAUCGUGAUAAGGAAACCCUGAGUGCCUGUCGGAUGCAGGCUGUUCAUAUAUCUAANAUCCAUAUGUGAAAGAAAGGGCAGGGCAAGA
rnacentral:rRNA from 1 species